UAAUCACUUGUCUCUUAAAUGGAGACCUGUAUGAAUGGCAUCACGAGGGCUUACCUGUCUCCCCCUCCCAGUCAAUGAAAUUGACCUAUCCGUGCAGAGGCGGAUAUAAGAACAUAAGACGAGAAGACCCUAUGGAGCUUCAGGACGAGGGACAAACACGUAAAGAAACUAGAAUAAAGCAACGCAACAGAAAGAGAUUUGAACCUAGUGAUUAAUGGUCCCGAUCCUUAGGUUGGGGCGACCGUGGGGCAAAAAACAGCCCCCAUAUGGAAAGGAGAGCAUAUCUCUAAAACUAAGAAAAACAGUUCGAAGAAGCAGAACAUCUGACCACAAAUGACCCAGGAUAAACAAAACCUGAUCAUUGGACCAAGUUACCCUAGGGAUAACAGCGCAAUCCUCUCUUAGAGUCCA
rnacentral:rRNA from 1 species